GCAAAUUCUAACAUAAAAUAAACAAAACAAAAUAGUGAAAUGAUCACUUACCCUUCACAUAAAAAUAAGACUCCCUCUUCCCUUUUCUCUUUCCAACAUAUGUGUAAAUGCACCAAUAAAAUAAUAUACAUCUACACCUUUUCUCUUUCAUCUUAAAUAUGAGUAAAAACCAAAAGAAAGGAAGGCUACACACCACUCACAGACG
rnacentral:lncRNA from 1 species